rnacentral:lncRNA from 10 species
AGCUUCCGCCUGCUACGGUCCUGGCAAGCACCUCGGGAUCCCAUUCCUUCACAGGGACCCUAGCCAGUUAAAGCUGAUACAUUCCUGUGGGUCAACUAUGCAACUAACUCAGAUUUUGAGCAAACAAAGCUCUCAAGUUGGUGAUCCUCAGGAGUCUCUGCAUUAGUUGGACAGCUCUUCUGGAAUUAUCUUCUAAGUCAACUGUGGGUUGGGUAGGUGGCUCUGCUGAUUUUUCGCUGGACUUCCACAUUUGGGACGAGUUGGCUGUCAUCAGCUCUAGAAAGGGUGUGGCCGUUUUACAUUGGCUGUUUUCCUCACAUUCCUCAAGCAGGUACUGUAAUAAAGAACUGGAGAAAUACAGUCAGAUGGGAAGUAGCCCUUGCUGUCAAGGAGCUUGCCAUCUAAUGGGGGAGACAGGCAAGUAAACCAAAGACUACACAGUGCAGUAUGGUAAGUGCCAUGAUUUUGAUGUGACAGGGCACAGUGGACGACCUUCCAAAUCAAAGCAAGUAACUAGGGGUUGACAAUGGUAAGUAUCAUAGUUGAAGUAUCCUUGAACAAGGUUUCAGGAAGAAGAAGAAGGGAAUUUCAUGCAGGGAAACAGCCAAAGCUCAGUGAGUCAAAAUAUCACAGCAUUCUUGGUAAGCCCAAUUGUUUUUUCUGUUUUGCUAUUUUGGUGGAGAGAAAGGAACACAUAAAGGAAUAACAUGAGAGAAGGCUAUUUGGGGAAGUGUAGUAGUUAAGGUUCUGGCUCAAACAACAACUGCAGCUCAUAAAGUUGACUUUAGUGGAAGGAUACUGGGGUAUCUCAUGGAAUCUUGGGAACUGUUGAAUAACCAGGGAAACUCUGGGAAACUCACUGGUAGGAAUCCAUAAACUGUCCUCCUGGUGGGCUGUAAACAACUCACCCUCUAUGCAUCUCACAUCAAAAUUCCAGUUUCUUGGGAAAACAAGUCUGUUUGCCCAAUUUGGGUCAUAUUUCCACGUCCAUGUUACUCAGGCAUGAUUCAUCUGCAAGUUAUGUGUAUAGAUAUUUUGCUACUGUUCCACCCUUACGCUGUGCUGGGGAGGGAGGUGUCACUGUGAGCUGUGUCGGUGCCUUAAGAGAUAUCUGUUGUGUCUUAUUACUUGGUUGCUUUUCCCCACAUGUACAAUGACAAAAAUGCCUUCAACCUAUUUGAUCCAGCCGUUCCAGUACAACUCCUAUACUUGCCAUCUUUCCAAGCCCAAAGGUACAUCCAGCUGAUGGAAGGAGCAUCUUGGUGUUAAUAUUCUUUUAGUCAUGGUCUCUGAAAGUAAAAUGUCUAUUCUUCUAAUUCUGGCACAAUCUUAUCUAGCUAUAGUUCCUCAUGGUCCUGCACUCCAUGGACUAAAUUGUAAGUAUAAUUACUACCAAUGUACUCUAUAAAUAACUUUUGGGGCCAGGGUGGCAAUAGUUGCUAGAGAGAAAAAAAAAAAAAAGGAAGGAGAAGAAAACAGUGAUAGUUCUUAUUUUAAAAGGAAAAAAAGAGGCAGGAGGCUCUCUUGAGGCCAGGAGUUUAAGACCAGCCUAGGCAGCAUUUCAAGACCCUGUCUCUACUAAAAAGUAAAAAAAAAAUUUAGUCAGGCAUGGUGGCAUGCACCUGUAGUCGUAGCUACUCAGGAGACUGAGGUGGGAGGAUUGAUUGAGCUCAGGAGUUUGAGGCUGCAGUGAGCAAUCAUCAUGCCAUUGCACUCCAGCCUGGGCAUCAGAGCAAGACCUUGUCUUUUAGGAAAAAAAGGCAGGGAAGAGGAAUAGGUAAUUUUUCAGUGUUCAGACAUUCCAGCAAUAUGUGUGGAGUACUCAUUCUCACUACAGUUUAUGAGGCCAUAGCUAGUAUGUAUGACUACCCAUCCAAGUUUCCCUGCUUACAGUUACUAUUCCAACUGAUUGGGGGGCUUUUCCUAAUAGAGUGAUUUAAGCCUUCAUUUUUAGACAUCUAAGCCCUUGGUGAUCAUCAGCAUAAAAUGUGACAAAUUAAACAAAAGCAAGACAGCACAUCAGAGAACAACUCUGAGGUGGAAUGAUUGGGAACCAAUGAAUAGUUGUUCAGUAAAUGGUUUAUAUUUUACAGAUGAUGAAACUGAAACACAAAAAAUUUAGAUUAACUCUUAGGUGACAAAGCCAGGAUUGAAGCUCAUGCGGUCUGGCUCCAGAACAACUCUUCUUCAUAGUUACGUUAUACUGCCCCUGCAUUGUUGGUAUUGAAAAAUUUCCUUUCAUCUCUGGUAAAAGUCAGCUCUCUAACUACUGCAUCUCACAGCUGAACAGAUAACUGAUACCGUGCUUCCAGAAGAUUUUUCUAACAGUGUUUGCAAGCUAUAAAAUAGUGCUUUCACUUAGAAAAGGCUAGACGUGGUGGUUCAUGCCUGUAAUCCCAGCACUUUGAGAGGCCGAGGCACCAUGCUGGGAGAUAAGGAUCCAACAUAAGACAAACAGUGCUGAUGCUUUUGGAAAGCUCAUAUUCAAGCUGGGGAGACAAACAACAUACAAGUGGCUGUAGCUACCUUCUGCAUAUGGAUAUCCAGUUUUCCCAGCACCACUUAUUAAAGAGACUGUCUUUUCUGCAGUGUAUAUUCUUGGCACCGUUGUUGAAAAUGAAUUCAUUGUAGGUGUGUGGGUUUGUUUCUGGGUUCUCUAUUCUGUUCAACUUGUCUAUGUGUCUGUUUUUAUGCCAGUACCGUGUCAUUUUAGUUACCAGAGCUCUGCAGUAUAAUUUGAAACCAGGUCAUGUGAUUCCUCCAGUUUUGUGGUAUUAGGAUAGGUUUGGCUAUUCUGAGUCUUUUGUGGUUCCAUAUAAAUUUUAGAAUUUUUUUUUUCUAUUUCUGUGAAGAAUGUCAUUGGUAUUUUGAUAGGGAUUGCGUUGAAUCUGUAGAUUGCUUUGGGUAGUAUGGACAUUUUAACAAUAUUCAUUCUUCUAAUCCAUGAACAUG